UCGAGCGGACAGAUGGGAGCUUGCUCCCUGAUGUUAGCGGCGGACGGGUGAGUAACACGUGGGUAACCUGCCUGUAAGACUGGGAUAACUCCGGGAAACCGGGGCUAAUACCGGAUGGUUGUCUGAACCGCAUGGUUCAGACAUAAAAGGUGGCUUCGGCUACCACUUACAGAUGGACCCGCGGCGCAUUAGCUAGUUGGUGAGGUAACGGCUCACCAAGGCGACGAUGCGUAGCCGACCUGAGAGGGUGAUCGGCCACACUGGGACUGAGACACGGCCCAGACUCCUACGGGAGGCAGCAGUAGGGAAUCUUCCGCAAUGGACGAAAGUCUGACGGAGCAACGCCGCGUGAGUGAUGAAGGUUUUCGGAUCGUAAAGCUCUGUUGUUAGGGAAGAACAAGUGCCGUUCAAAUAGGGCGGCACCUUGACGGUACCUAACCAGAAAGCCACGGCUAACUACGUGCCAGCAGCCGCGGUAAUACGUAGGUGGCAAGCGUUGUCCGGAAUUAUUGGGCGUAAAGGGCUCGCAGGCGGUUUCUUAAGUCUGAUGUGAAAGCCCCCGGCUCAACCGGGGAGGGUCAUUGGAAACUGGGGAACUUGAGUGCAGAAGAGGAGAGUGGAAUUCCACGUGUAGCGGUGAAAUGCGUAGAGAUGUGGAGGAACACCAGUGGCGAAGGCGACUCUCUGGUCUGUAACUGACG
rnacentral:rRNA from 1 species